CCUACGGGAGGCAGCAGUGAGGAAUAUUGGUCAAUGGGCGGGAGCCUGAACCAGCCAAGUCGCGUGAGGGAAGACGGUCCUACGGAUUGUAAACCUCUUUUGCCGGGGAGCAACGGGGUCCUUGCGAGGGCCCGAUGAGAGUACCCGGAGAAAAAGCAUCGGCUAACUCCGUGCCAGCAGCCGCGGUAAUACGGAGGAUGCGAGCGUUAUCCGGAUUUAUUGGGUUUAAAGGGUGCGUAGGCGGGCUGUUAAGUCAGCGGUCAAAUGUCGGGGCUCAACCCCGGCCUGCCGUUGAAACUGGCGGCCUCGAGUGGGCGAGAAGUAUGCGGAAUGCGUGGUGUAGCGGUGAAAUGCAUAGAUAUCACGCAGAACUCCGAUUGCGAAGGCAGCAUACCGGCGCCCUACUGACGCUGAGGCACGAAAGCGUGGGUAUCGAAC
rnacentral:rRNA from 1 species